rnacentral:rRNA from 1 species
UGGGGAAUAUUGCACAAUGGGCGCAAGCCUGAUGCAGCAACGCCGCGUGAGGGAUGACGGCCUUCGGGUUGUAAACCUCUUUUAGUAGGGAAGAAGCGAAAGUGACGGUACCUGCAGAAAAAGCACCGGCUAACUACGUGCCAGCAGCCGCGGUAAUACGUAGGGUGCGAGCGUUGUCCGGAAUUAUUGGGCGUAAAGAGCUCGUAGGCGGUCUGUCGCGUCUGCUGUGAAAACCCGAGGCUCAACCUCGGGCCUGCAGUGGGUACGGGCAGACUAGAGUGCGGUAGGGGAGAAUGGAAUUCCUGGUGUAGCGGUGGAAUGCGCAGAUAUCAGGAGGAACACCGAUGGCGAAGGCAGUUCUCUGGGCCGUAACUGACGCUGAGGAGCGAAAGCGUGGGGAGCGAACAGGAUUAGAUACCCUGGUAGUCCACGCCGUAAACGUUGGGCGCUAGAUGUGGGGACCAUUCCACGGUUUCCGUGUCGCAGCUAACGCAUUAAGCGCCCCGCCUGGGGAGUACGGCCGCAAGGCUAAAACUCAAAUGAAUU